UAGGGAAUCUUCCGCAAUGGACGCAAGUCUGACGGAGCAACGCCGCGUGAGUGAAGAAGGAUUUCGGUUCGUAAAACUCUGUUGUUAGAGAAGAACAGCGCAUAGAGUAACUGUUAUGCGUGUGACGGUAUCUAACCAGAAAGCCACGGCUAACUACGUGCCAGCAGCCGCGGUAAUACGUAGGUGGCAAGCGUUGUCCGGAUUUAUUGGGCGUAAAGCGAGCGCAGGCGGUCAAUUAAGUCUGAUGUGAAAGCCCCCGGCUCAACCGGGGAGGGUCAUUGGAAACUGGUUGACUUGAGUGCAGAAGAGGAGAGUGGAAUUCCAUGUGUAGCGGUGAAAUGCGCAGAUAUUAGGAGGAAUACCGGUGGCGAAGGCGACUUUCUGGCCAUAAUCUGACGCUGAGGUACGAAAGCGUGGGUAGCAAACAGG
rnacentral:rRNA from 1 species